UACGAAGGGGGCUAUGGUUGUUCGGAAUUUCUGGGCGUACAGCGCACGUAGGCGGACUCUUAAGUCAGGGGUGAAAUCCCGGGGCUCAACCUCGGAACUGCCUUUGAUACUGUGAGUCUCGAUACUGGAAGAGGUGAGUGGAAUUCCUAGUGUAGAGGUGAAAUUCGUAGAUCUUAGGAAGAACACCAGUGGCGAAGGUGGCUCACUGGUCCGGUUCUGAUGCUGAGGUGCGAAAGCGUGGGGAGCAAACAGG
rnacentral:rRNA from 1 species